GGAGCCUGGCUGCCCACUGCAAACAUGUGUUACAGACCUGUCCUUAUGACUCCACCCUCAGAAGACUGUCUCUGAUGUGAGGGGUCCUACGGCCGGCAGUGCAGUUCUUUCUCCCAGAAUCCUCAGCGACUGGACCCCGGUGCCACAGGUCCUGGAGCAGAAGGACCAGGCGCUCCACGGACCCCAGCCUCCAUUCACCGUUUCAGGCAGCUUCCCCACGAUCACACACUCUCCAGAGAUACACCACUGAA